AAUGUUGAUUCAUUGACAAGCCACUUGUAUGUUACUACACCUUCAGUGCUUAUAGCUGUACAACUGAAUGAUGCAUUUUUUCCUUCAGCUUUGAUAAUACUUAUAGGCUGUAAUGUGAAUCUUAGUACGUGACCUGGACAAGAGUUUUACGAUGUACGACUUUGUGGAUUAAGGAAAGCUAUCGAUUCUUAAACUUUGGCCAUGGCCAACCAAAAAGAUUCCAUAAAAUGUACUCACUGCUAUAAGCAAUAGCCGAUAUCUAAUGAGCAUGAUCUUUGACUGGAAAUAUCAUAGGAUAGUUCACCGGGUCCAUAACACAAGCCUAAAGGCUUCAACAAUGUCGAUAUGAAAUUUGAUAUUAAAAAUAGAGUGACUGACA